UACGGAGGGUGCGAGCGUUGUCCGGAAUCACUGGGCGUAAAGGGCGCGUAGGCGGCGCGGAUAGUCGGCGGUGAAAGCCCGGAGCUCAACUCCGGGUCGGCCGUCGAUACUUCCGGGCUUGAGCACUGUAGAGGCAGAUGGAAUUCCGGGUGUAGCGGUGGAAUGCGUAGAGAUCCGGAAGAACACCAGUGGCGAAGGCGGCCCGCUGGGCAGUGGCUGACGCUGAAGCGCGACAGCGUGGGGAGCAAACAGG
rnacentral:rRNA from 1 species